AUCAGCUGCAAGCAGAAGCAGUCGGAAGGAUUGAAGCUGCGGCAGGUCUGUGUGGAUCCGGGGUUAGUGUGCGGCUGGUGUGUGUGAUCGACGCUGAGUUAAUUCUGGUGUCGUUGCUGUACGGCGAAGGCCAACGUCGCCAUUGCGUGUCUGGGUGGAUCUCCAGUAGAGUGGGGGACUACAAUGAGCUUGGCUUCUACGACGACGAACUUUUGGUUGAUUUCCCUACAGUACAGCCACAGUUUUCCCCAUGAUCAUGAUAAGGCUAUGUGUUACAUUGUUUGCUUUUCCAUACCUGUGACUUACUGCCUUGCCCAAAGGUGGCUAUAGCGGCUGCACCGUAAUAUCUUCCCGUUGCGGCAGUCGGUGGGGGGGGGAUCCUAUCCUCAGCCUGUAUGGUGACCACGUGUACUUUGCGAGUAACUAUUUGCGCUAUGGUAAUUUCAGGAUCGAGAGUGCUUUUCCAUGCGAUAUUGCACGAGUGUGAUUGCUGUGUUGAUUAUAAUGGGGAGGUUUUGGUGUGGAUUAACCCAGGUUUGAAUCUGUAGUGGAGUACGUGGCAACGCUGAGGAUUGGGAU